rnacentral:misc_RNA from 1 species
GCACAUAAAGGUGCGCUUCAACAUUUAAUCUUUAACUCUACAUUUAGCUAAAGAAACAUAUUGUGGUUGUUGAUACUUUGUUCUUAGUGCCUGUAGGAUUCCAUAAUGUAAUACAUCAAACAUGCAUUUUUGUUAAUUCAAUUUAUAUAUAUGCCCAUCCAAAGAGGAAAACAAGGGAAAACUUUUAAAUUCCCUGCCUGUAUUGCUGCACAUGGUUAGCUGAGUGAUUAUGGCAAAGAACAGCAAGUCUGUCAUGAACUUAUCAAGUCCUUGUACUUUUAAGUUUGAAGGAAACUACUUAAUUCCUGUAUCUUUAAGUUUG